AUUGAACGCUGGCGGCAUGCUUUACACAUGCAAGUCGAACGGCAGCGCGGGCUUCGGCCUGGCGGCGAGUGGCGAACGGGUGAGUAAUACAUCGGAACGUGCCCAGUAGUGGGGAUAGCUCGGCGAAAGCCGGAUUAAUACCGCAUACGACCUGAGGGUGGAAGCGGGGGAUCUUCGGACCUCGCGCUAUUGGAGCGGCCGAUGGCAGAUUAGCUAGUUGGUGGGGUAAAGGCCUACCAAGGCGACGAUCUGUAGCUGGUCUGAGAGGACGACCAGCCACACUGGGACUGAGACACGGCCCAGACUCCUACGGGAGGCAGCAGUGGGGAAUUUUGGACAAUGGGCGAAAGCCUGAUCCAGCAAUGCCGCGUGUGUGAUGAAGGCCUUCGGGUUGUAAAGCACUUUUGGCGGGAACGAAAAGGACUGUGCCAAUACCACGGUUCGAUGACGGUACCCGCAGAAUAAGCACCGGCUAACUACGUG
rnacentral:rRNA from 1 species